UGGGGAAUUUUUCCGCAAUGGGCGAAAGCCUGACGGAGCAAUGCCGCGUGGAGGUGGAAGGCCUACGGGUCGUCAACUUCUUUUCUCGGAGAGGAAACAAUGACGGUAUCUGAGGAAUAAGCAUCGGCUAACUCUGUGCCAG
rnacentral:rRNA from 1 species